GUCUGCAUGGAGCCGACCUUGAAAUACCACCCUUUAAUGUUUGAUGUUCUAACGUGGAUCCGUAAUCCGGGUUGCGGACAGUGUCUGGUGGGUAGUUUGACUGGGGCGGUCUCCUCCUAAAGAGUAACGGAGGAGCACGAAGGUUGGCUAAUCCUGGUCGGACAUCAGGAGGUUAGUGCAAUGGCAUAAGCCAGCUUGACUGCGAGCGUGACGGCGCGAGCAGGUGCGAAAGCAGGUCAUAGUGAUCCGGUGGUUCUGAAUGGAAGGGCCAUCGCUCAACGGAUAAAAGGUACUCCGGGGAUAACAGGCUGAUACCGCCCAAGAGUUCAUAUCGACGGCGGUGUUUGGCACCUCGAUGUCGGCUCAUCACAUCCUGGGGCUGAAGUAGGUCCCAAGGGUAUGGCUGUUCGCCAUUUAAAGUGGUACGCGAGCUGGGUUUAGAACGUCGUGAGACAGUUCGGUCCCUAUCUGCCGUGGGCGCUGGAGAACUGAGGGGGGCUGCUCCUAGUACGAGAGGACCGGAGUGGACGCAUCACUGGUGUUCGGGUUGUCAUGCCAAUGGCACUGCCCGGUAGCUAAAUGCGGAAGAGAUAAGUGCUGAAAGCAUCUAAGCACGAAACUUGCCCCGA
rnacentral:rRNA from 2 species